GGGGGGACGGAGAAGGCUAGGUGGGCCUGGCGACGGUUGUCCAGGUUCAAGUGCGUAGGCUUAAGAGUUAGGUAAAUCCGGCUCUUUUUAAGGCUGAGACACGACGUCGAGCCACUACGGUGGUGAAGUCAUUGAUGCCAUGCUUCCAGGAAAAGCCUCUAAGCUUCAGAUUGUAAGGAAUCGUACCCCAAACCGACACAGGUGGUCGGGUAGAGAAUACCAAGGCGCUUGAGAGAACUCGGGUGAAGGAACUAGGCAAAAUGGUACCGUAACUUCGGGAGAAGGUACGCUCUCGACGGUGAAGUCCCUCGCGGAUGGAGCUAUUGAGAGUCGCAGAUACCAGGUGGCUGCAACUGUUUAUUAAAAACACAGCACUGUGCAAAAUCGUAAGAUGACGUAUACGGUGUGACGCCUGCCCGGUGCCGGAAGGUUAAUUGAUGGGGUUAGACUUCGGUCGAAGCUCUUGAUCGAAGCCCCGGUAAACGGCGGCCGUAACUAUAACGGUCCUAAGGUAGCGAAAUUCCUUGUCGGGUAAGUUCCGACCUGCACGAAUGGCGUAAUGAUGGCCACGCUGUCUCCACCCGAGACUCAGUGAAAUUGAAAUCGCUGUGAAGAUGCAGUGUACCCGCGGCUAGACGGAAAGACCCCGUGAACCUUUACUACAGCUUGGCACUGAACAUUGACCCUACAUGUGUAGGAUAGGUGGGAGGCUUUGAAGCACGUACGCCAGUAUGUGUGGAGCCGUCCUUGAAAUACCACCCUUGUAGUGUUGAUGUUCUAACGUUGACCCCUAAUCGGGGUUGCGGACAGUGCCUGGUGGGUAGUUUGACUGGGGCGGUCUCCUCCCAAAGAGUAACGGAGGAGCACGAAGGUGGGCUAAUCACGGUUGGACAUCGUGAGGUUAGUGCAAUGGCAUAAGCCCGCUUGACUGCGAGAAUGACAAUUCGAGCAGGUGCGAAAGCAGGUCAUAGUGAUCCGGUGGUUCUGAAUGGAAGGGCCAUCGCUCAACGGAUAAAAGGUACUCCGGGGAUAACAGGCUGAUACCGCCCAAGAGUUCAUAUCGACGGCGGUGUUUGGCACCUCGAUGUCGGCUCAUCACAUCCUGGGGCUGAAGUCGGUCCCAAGGGUAUGGCUGUUCGCCAUUUAAAGUGGUACGCGAGCUGGGUUUAGAACGUCGUGAGACAGUUCGGUCCCUAUCUGCCGUGGGCGUUGGAAGAUUGAAGGGGGCUGCUCCUAGUACGAGAGGACCGGAGUGGACGAACCUCUGGUGUUCGGGUUGUGUCGCCAGACGCAUUGCCCGGUAGCUAAGUUCGGAAUCGAUAACCGCUGAAAGCAUCUAAGCGGGAAGCGAGCCCUGAGAUGAGUCUUCCCUGAUACUUUAAGUAUCCUAAAGGGUUGUCGGAGACUACGACGUUGAUAGGUCAGGUGUGUAAGUGCUGUGAGGCAUUGAGCUAACUGAUACUAAUUGCCCGUGAGGCUUAACCAUACAACACCCAAGGGGUUU
rnacentral:rRNA from 1 species